AUUUCUUUAGUGUUAAAUUAUGCAUAAUUAACUUCCAAUUAAUAGGUUUUGAUAAUAUCAAAAAGAUUUA
rnacentral:tRNA from 1 species